rnacentral:rRNA from 1 species
GAUGAACGCUGGCGGCGUGCCUAAUACAUGCAAGUCGAGCGAACGGACGAGAAGCUUGCUUCUCUGAUGUUAGCGGCGGACGGGUGAGUAACACGUGGAUAACCUACCUAUAAGACUGGGAUAACUUCGGGAAACCGGAGCUAAUACCGGAUAAUAUUUUGAACCGCAUGGUUCAAAAGUGAAAGACGGUCUUGCUGUCACUUAUAGAUGGAUCCGCGCUGCAUUAGCUAGUUGGUAAGGUAACGGCUUACCAAGGCAACGAUGCAUAGCCGACCUGAGAGGGUGAUCGGCCACACUGGAACUGAGACACGGUCCAGACUCCUACGGGAGGCAGCAGUAGGGAAUCUUCCGCAAUGGGCGAAAGCCUGACGGAGCAACGCCGCGUGAGUGAUGAAGGUCUUCGGAUCGUAAAACUCUGUUACUAGGGAAGAACAUAUGUGUAAGUAACUGUGCACAUCUUGACGGUACCUAAUCAGAAAGCCACGGCUAACUACGUGCUAGCAGCCGCGGUAAUACGUAGGUGGCAAGCGUUAUCCGGAAUUAUUGGGCGUAAAGCGCGCGUAGGCGGUUUUUUAAGUCUGAUGUGAAAGCCCACGGCUCAACCGUGGAGGGUCAUUGGAAACUGGAAAACUUGAGUGCAGAAGAGGAAAGUGGAAUUCCAUGUGUAGCGGUGAAAUGCGCAGAGAUAUGGAGGAACACCAGUGGCGAAGGCGACUUUCUGGUCUGUAACUGACGCUGAUGUGCGAAAGCGUGGGGAUCAAACAGGAUUAGAUACCCUGGUAGUCCACGCCGUAAACGAUGAGUGCUAAGUGUUAGGGGGUUUCCGCCCCUUAGUGCUGCAGCUAACGCAUUAAGCACUCCGCCUGGGGAGUACGACCGCAAGGUUGAAACUCAAAGGAAUUGACGGGGACCCGCACAAGCGGUGGAGCAUGUGGUUUAAUUCGAAGCAACGCGAAGAACCUUACCAAAUCUUGACAUCCUUUGACAACUCUAGAGAUAGAGCUUUCCCCUUCGGGGGACAAAGUGACAGGUGGUGCAUGGUUGUCGUCAGCUCGUGUCGUGAGAUGUUGGGUUAAGUCCCGCAACGAGCGCAACCCUUAAGCUUAGUUGCCAUCAUUAAGUUGGGCACUCUAAGUUGACUGCCGGUGACAAACCGGAGGAAGGUGGGGAUGACGUCAAAUCAUCAUGCCCCUUAUGAUUUGGGCUACACACGUGCUACAAUGGACAAUACAAAGGGCAGCGAAACCGCGAGGUCAAGCAAAUCCCAUAAAGUUGUUCUCAGUUCGGAUUGUAGUCUGCAACUCGACUACAUGAAGCUGGAAUCGCUAGUAAUCGUAGAUCAGCAUGCUACGGUGAAUACGUUCCCGGGUCU